UUUCUUUCUUGCUUCUAGGGACCAGAAGGCCCUCGGGGAGAAACAGGUCCUGCAGGACCCCAGGGCCCCCCUGGACCCCAAGGACCCAGUGGUCUGUCCAUUCAAGGCAUGCCUGGUAUGCCAGGUGACAAAGGAGAUAAAGGAGAUGCUGGCCUUCCUGGUCCACAGGGUGUCCCUGGAGGUGUGGGUUCACCAGGACGUGAUGGCUCCCCAGGCCAGAGGGUAAGAACUUGCCAAAUAUUGGUUCUAGGCAAGGUAUACUUCCUGCCUAGUCAUUUUGCUGCAGAC